rnacentral:piRNA from 1 species
UGCCUCGUCCACCCCUGCUAUGAAGCUCGGUC